rnacentral:rRNA from 1 species
ACUCCUACGGGUGGCUGCAGUGGGGAAUAUUGGACAAUGGGCGGAAGCCUGAUCCAGCCAUGCCGCGUGUGUGAAGAAGGCCUUAGGGUUGUAAAGCACUUUCAGGGGUGAGGAAGGGUAGCUAGUUAAUACCUAGUUAUCUUGACGUUAGCCCCAGAAGAAGCACCGGCUAACUCUGUGCCAGCAGCCGCGGUAAUACAGAGGGUGCAAGCGUUAAUCGGAAUUACUGGGCGUAAAGCGCGCGUAGGUGGUUUGUUAAGUCGGAUGUGAAAUCCCAGGGCUCAACCUUGGAAUGGCACCCGAUACUGGCAGGCUAGAGUAUGGUAGAGGGGUGUGGAAUUUCCUGUGUAGCGGUGAAAUGCGUAGAUAUAGGAAGGAACAUCAGUGGCGAAGGCGACACCCUGGACUAAUACUGACACUGAGGUGCGAAAGCGCGGGGAGCAAACAGGAUUAGAUACCCUGGUAGUCCACGCCGUAAACGAUGUCUACUAGCCGUUGGGUUGUAAUGACUUAGUGGCGCAGCUAACGCAAUAAGUAGACCGCCUGGGGAGUACGGCCGCAAGGUUAAAACUCAAAUGAAUUGACGGGGGCCCGCACAAGCGGUGGAGCAUGUGGUUUAAUUCGACGCAACGCGAAGAACCUUACCUACUCUUGACAUCCAGUGAAUCCAGAAGAGAUUUUGGAGUGCCUUCGGGAACACUGAGACAGGUGAUGCAUGGCUGUCGUCAGCUCGUG